CAUGGCACGCAAUUUUCG
rnacentral:misc_RNA from 1 species